rnacentral:rRNA from 1 species
UACGUAGGGCGCAAGCGUUAUCCGGAAUUAUUGGGCGUAAAGAGCUCGUAGGCGGUUUGUCGCGUCUGCCGUGAAAGUCCGGGGCUCAACUCCGGAUCUGCGGUGGGUACGGGCAGGCUAGAGUGAUGUAGGGGAGACUGGAAUUCCUGGUGUAGCGGUGAAAUGCGCAGAUAUCAGGAGGAACACCGAUGGCGAAGGCAGGUCUCUGGGCAUUAACUGACGCUGAGGAGCGAAAGCGUGGGGAGCGAACAGG